rnacentral:ncRNA from 2 species
AACGCACCUUGCGCUCCUUGGUAUUCCGAGGAGCAUGCCUGUUUGAGUGUCAUUAAAUUCUCAACCUUCCUUGUCUUUAUUGAUGAGGUAGUGCUUGGACGUGGGGGUUGCGGGCUUCCUCAGAAGUCGGCUCUCCUUAAAUGCAUUAGCGGAACCUUUGUGGACCGUCUAUUGGUGUGAUAAUUAUCUACGCCAUCGACGCGGACGCUGUUAUAUGGGGUUCAGCUUCUAACCAUCUCGCAAGAGAUAACAACUUAAUUGACAUUUUGACCUCAAAUCAGGUAGGACUACCCGCUGAACUUAA